rnacentral:rRNA from 1 species
UGUUCUAACGUGGACCCGUAAUCCGGGUUGCGGACAGUGUCUGGUGGGUAGUUUGACUGGGGCGGUCUCCUCCUAAAGAGUAACGGAGGAGCACGAAGGUUGGCUAAUCCUGGUCGGACAUCAGGAGGUUAGUGCAAUGGCAUAAGCCAGCUUGACUGCGAGCGUGACGGCGCGAGCAGGUGCGAAAGCAGGUCAUAGUGAUCCGGUGGUUCUGAAUGGAAGGGCCAUCGCUCAACGGAUAAAAGGUACUCCGGGGAUAACAGGCUGAUACCGCCCAAGAGUUCAUAUCGACGGCGGUGUUUGGCACCUCGAUGUCGGCUCAUCACAUCCUGGGGCUGAAGUAGGUCCCAAGGGUAUGGCUGUUCGCCAUUUAAAGUGGUACGCGAGCUGGGUUUAGAACGUCGUGAGACAGUUCGGUCCCUAUCUGCCGUGGGCGCUGGAGAACUGAGGGGGGCUGCUCCUAGUACGAGAGGACCGGAGUGGACGCAUCACUGGUGUUCGGGUUGUCAUGCCAAUGGCACUGCCCGGUAGCUAAAUGCGGAAGAGAUAAGUGCUGAAAGCAUCUAAGCACGAAACUUGCCCCGAGAUGAGUUCUCCCUGAGACUUUAGGUCUCCUGAAGGAACGUUGAAGACGACGACGUUGAUAGGCCGGGUGUGUAAGCGCAGCGAUGCGUUGAGCUAACCGGUACUAAUGAACCGUGAGGCUUAACCUUACAACGCCGAAG